GUGCUUGCUUCAGCAGCACAUAUAGUACAAUUGGAACAAUACAAAAAAGAUUGGCAUGGCCCCUGCAUAAGGAUGACAUGCAAAUUUGUGAAGCAUUUCAUAUUAAA
rnacentral:snRNA from 1 species